rnacentral:hammerhead_ribozyme from 1 species
GUAUUGCCGACGAGUCUUAUACUAGGACAAAACGGCCGUCCAAUAC